UCCUUAUGUCUUGAAACCAGGUCUGUGAUCUCAGCUGGAAGACCAUGGGUUUUGGCUGGGUUCGAGGUUCGAGUUCCAGCGCAUGGGUUCAAGUCCCAACCUGCGGCUUUCAUUAGCUGGUGAGGUCUGGUUUGCAUUUGGUUUACUCAUUUCUGAUCAAAAUUGGAAAGUGCUUCUUUGAUUCCAUCACACAGCCUCAUAAGAAAAAUUUUGGCUGACUGGUCGACCUGUAGGAAGUCCUGGUCAGAAAUGUGGAAGUAACAAGCUACUAUGAACUGGACGAAUUCAGGAAAGUCCAGAAGGAGAGACACCGGUUCAUAUGUCCUACCAGCCUCCCAGAAUCCUCCUCACUGGAAUCCAUCUUGGCUGAGUCGAUGUUUGCACCACCACUGACAUCCUAACCACUUGGGGCUACUCGGUGACCAGCUCGCCCACCAGUGAACCAGAUCCAAGGGCCAUAACUGGAACCUUUUGUCCCUGAUCUCCUCCUGACGCAGACAACUGGCCAGAGUGCCCUGACCAGCUAACCUUGAGAUACUUGAGAGCUUCCCCGAGGUAUCUUAAAGAAAAAUAUUUAGGAGUCAACCCUGAAUAUUCACUGGAAGGAUUGGUUGCUGAAGCUGAAGCUCCAGUACUUUGGCCACCUGAUUCCAAGAG